rnacentral:tRNA from 2 species
GGGCGCGUAGCUCAAUGGUAGAGCAGCGGCCUUUUAAGCCGUUGGUUAAGGGUUCGAGCCCCUUCGCGCUCACAA